rnacentral:rRNA from 1 species
AGAUUAAGUUAUUAAGGGCGCACGGUGGAUGCCUUGGCACUAGAAGCCGAUGAAGGACGUUACUAACGACGAUAUGCUUUGGGGAGCUGUAAGUAAGCUUUGAUCCAGAGAUUUCCGAAUGGGGAAACCCAGCAUGAGUUAUGUCAUGUUAUCGAUAUGUGAAUACAUAGCAUAUCAGAAGGCACACCCGGAGAACUGAAACAUCUUAGUACCCGGAGGAAGAGAAAGAAAAUUCGAUUCCCUUAGUAGCGGCGAGCGAAACGGGAAGAGCCCAAACCAACAAGCUUGCUUGUUGGGGUUGUAGGACACUCUAUACGGAGUUACAAAGGACGACAUUAGACGAAUCAUCUGGAAAGAUGAAUCAAAGAAGGUAAUAAUCCUGUAGUCGAAAAUGUUGUCUCUCUUGAGUGGAUCCUGAGUACGACGGAGCACGUGAAAUUCCGUCGGAAUCUGGGAGGACCAUCUCCUAAGGCUAAAUACUCUCUAGUGACCGAUAGUGAACCAGUACCGUGAGGGAAAGGUGAAAAGCACCCCGGAAGGGGAGUGAAAUAGAACCUGAAACCGUGUGCUUACAAGUAGUCAGAGCCCGUUAAUGGGUGAUGGCGUGCCUUUUGUAGAAUGAACCGGCGAGUUACGAUUUGAUGCAAGGUUAAGCAGUAAAUGUGGAGCCGUAGCGAAAGCGAGUCUGAAUAGGGCGUUUAGUAUUUGGUCGUAGACCCGAAACCAGGUGAUCUACCCUUGGUCAGGUUGAAGUUCAGGUAACACUGAAUGGAGGACCGAACCGACUUACGUUGAAAAGUGAGCGGAUGAACUGAGGGUAGCGGAGAAAUUCCAAUCGAACCUGGAGAUAGCUGGUUCUCUCCGAAAUAGCUUUAGGGCUAGCCUCAAGUGAUGAUUAUUGGAGGUAGAGCACUGUUUGGACGAGGGGCCCCUCUCGGGUUACCGAAUUCAGACAAACUCCGAAUGCCAAUUAAUUUAACUUGGGAGUCAGAACAUGGGUGAUAAGGUCCGUGUUCGAAAGGGAAACAGCCCAGACCACCAGCUAAGGUCCCAAAAUAUAUGUUAAGUGGAAAAGGAUGUGGCGUUGCCCAGACAACUAGGAUGUUGGCUUAGAAGCAGCCAUCAUUUAAAGAGUGCGUAAUAGCUCACUAGUCGAGUGACACUGCGCCGAAAAUGUACCGGGGCUAAACAUAUUACCGAAGCUGUGGAUUGUCCUUUGGACAAUGGUAGGAGAGCGUUCUAAGGGCGUUGAAGCAUGAUCGUAAGGACNNGUGGAGCNNNNNNNNNNNNNNNNNNNNNNNNNNNNNNNNNNNNNNNNNNNNNNNNNNNNNNNNNNNNNNNNNNNNNNNNNNNNNNNAUNNUAAGGACAUGUGGAGCGCUUAGAAGUGAGAAUGCCGGUGUGAGUAGCGAAAGACGGGUGAGAAUCCCGUCCACCGAUUGACUAAGGUUUCCAGAGGAAGGCUCGUCCGCUCUGGGUUAGUCGGGUCCUAAGCUGAGGCCGACAGGCGUAGGCGAUGGAUAACAGGUUGAUAUUCCUGUACCACCUAUAAUCGUUUUAAUCGAUGGGGGGACGCAGUAGGAUAGGCGAAGCGUGCGAUUGGAUUGCACGUCUAAGCAGUAAGGCUGAGUAUUAGGCAAAUCCGGUACUCGUUAAGGCUGAGCUGUGAUGGGGAGAAGACAUUGUGUCUUCGAGUCGUUGAUUUCACACUGCCGAGAAAAGCCUCUAGAUAGAAAAUAGGUGCCCGUACCGCAAACCGACACAGGUAGUCAAGAUGAGAAUUCUAAGGUGAGCGAGCGAACUCUCGUUAAGGAACUCGGCAAAAUGACCCCGUAACUUCGGGAGAAGGGGUGCUCUUUAGGGUUAACGCCCAGAAGAGCCGCAGUGAAUAGGCCCAAGCGACUGUUUAUCAAAAACACAGGUCUCUGCUAAACCGUAAGGUGAUGUAUAGGGGCUGACGCCUGCCCGGUGCUGGAAGGUUAAGAGGAGUGGUUAGCUUCUGCGAAGCUACGAAUCGAAGCCCCAGUAAACGGCGGCCGUAACUAUAACGGUCCUAAGGUAGCGAAAUUCCUUGUCGGGUAAGUUCCGACCCGCACGAAAGGCGUAACGAUUUGGGCACUGUCUCAACGAGAGACUCGGUGAAAUCAUAGUACCUGUGAAGAUGCAGGUUACCCGCGACAGGACGGAAAGACCCCGUGGAGCUUUACUGUAGCCUGAUAUUGAAAUUCGGCACAGCUUGUACAGGAUAGGUAGGAGCCUUUGAAACGUGAGCGCUAGCUUACGUGGAGGCGCUGGUGGGAUACUACCCUAGCUGUGUUGGCUUUCUAACCCGCACCACUUAUCGUGGUGGGAGACAGUGUCAGGCGGGCAGUUUGACUGGGGCGGUCGCCUCCUAAAAGGUAACGGAGGCGCUCAAAGGUUCCCUCAGAAUGGUUGGAAAUCAUUCAUAGAGUGUAAAGGCAUAAGGGAGCUUGACUGCGAGACCUACAAGUCGAGCAGGGUCGAAAGACGGACUUAGUGAUCCGGUGGUUCCGCAUGGAAGGGCCAUCGCUCAACGGAUAAAAGCUACCCCGGGGAUAACAGGCUUAUCUCCCCCAAGAGUUCACAUCGACGGGGAGGUUUGGCACCUCGAUGUCGGCUCAUCGCAUCCUGGGGCUGUAGUCGGUCCCAAGGGUUGGGCUGUUCGCCCAUUAAAGCGGUACGCGAGCUGGGUUCAGAACGUCGUGAGACAGUUCGGUCCCUAUCCGUCGUGGGCGUAGGAAAUUUGAGAGGAGCUGUCCUUAGUACGAGAGGACCGGGAUGGACAUACCUCUGGUGUACCAGUUGUCGUGCCAACGGCAUAGCUGGGUAGCUAUGUGUGGACGGGAUAAGUGCUGAAAGCAUCUAAGCAUGAAGCCCCCCUCAAGAUGAGAUUUCCCAACUUCGGUUAUAAGAUCCCUCAAAGAUGAUGAGGUUAAUAGGUUCGAGGUGGAAGCAUGGUGACAUGUGGAGCUGACGAAUACUAAUCGAUCGAAGACUUAAUCAAAA